ensembl:lncRNA
CCCCCCAUGCUGUACUGUUCUCACAAUUUAAUUUUGAAGCCAGCAAUAAUUACCACUCUGCUUGAUUAAUUAUGUCUCAACUCUUUGCGGCUCGUAGGCGCCACAAGGGCUAAUUAUCGAGAAGAGGCGAAUGGGCUGGCCUAGUACAAUUAAAACCUCCAUGGACUCACUUUGCGCUGCCGAGUAGCAGCAUCUCAGAGCAGGCAGACACUUCUGGGGCUCCUGUUUGAGGCCGUCUGCCUUUGGAUAGCCUUGAUAUCACACUCAGACAUGUAAACACAUCACAAGAGCUCUGCCCCUGCCAGGCUGUCUGACAGCUUGAUUCCCUUUAUCAAGUAUCAAGCUAGACAGUGAAACAGAAGUCUGCACGGUCAGAAUAUAUUGUGUGUGCAAUAUUUGGGUAGUGGCAGUCAAGCGGCUUGUUCCACCCUUCCCCCUAUCGCCUGCAGGUCAUCUACGAGAAAUGAAGUCAUGGAUUACUGUAGGUUAUGUCGCCAUGGAAUGGGUUACGGUCCCGCUCACACUGUCAUGCAGAUUUUGGAAGCUUCUCAUCAAGCAUCUAGCUCCUUCGUCGUUCUUUCCGGUUAAGAGAUGUGUGGUCACACUACUGUCUGAUUCCACAAUCAAAGUGAUCUAUUAUUGCAAUUAGGAGUUGGUUGAGAAAUCUUGCUCACUUGUAUGCAAAACAGGAGAAAUGUAUACUAGUGCUAUAGGCAAGUCACAUGAGAGGUGCUGACUUAUACGAGGUCAAUCUUCCUACUUGAAAAGCACAAGACUAAUGAAUUCUCUGUCUCCGUGUGAGGAUAUUCAGCUGAGGAUAUUCUCAGUCUUCACACAAACUCUAUGCUAGUAUGUAAUCCCUCAGUUUUAAUUUAACUUCUCUUUCAGCUGUGCCAUUAACAUUGGUAGAAUGUGUUUCUGACAAGCCUCCCUUUAAAGUUUAAACCAAUGCUGAAACACAGGCAUAGAAAUACAGCGAGUGUCUGACCUGUUAAUUACCUAGACAGUGCUCCUCCAGAAUGCCAACCAGGUACCGCAUCCUCCUAAAAUGGGUUUGAGGUUCUUGUCCAGCUUAUUAUCCACAGUUUGAGGACACAAAUUUGAGAAAGAAAUAUCACAUCACUUCUGGCUUUGAGCGCCCCGUCCCUAUGAAAGUGCCUUCAAACUGGACGGACUGCGACUGAAACGCUCGUCUCUCCUUCAGUCAGCACGAGCGAAGUGCUGAACGUCUUAAACAUAAAUGCUUGGUGCUGAUAGUCUCCUCAGUUUACGAGCUACAACAUGAUUGAGUUACACGACUGACACGCGCAAGCAUACGCACCAGGCGCGUACAUAAAAAAUAAUCACAGUCACCGCGACUGUUCCCCCUCCCCCUUCUCCGUCUCCUCUCUACACUACCGUUUUGCUCAUUCCCGACCUCAUGUCUCCUUAUAGGCAGGCUGUCGCAGACACAGUAUCCGUUACCUGCGGCACAAGUAUUAGUAUUCCCAGCCAGAUCUACCUAAUUGUUCAGUGGUGUGUUGAUCGGGCAACCCCCAGUUGGCGAACAGAUCACCAAAUCAACCAAGUGACAUGGGACGCCCCUCGCGUCCAGCCCCUUCAAGCUAAGGUAUUCUGACACUGAUGAAGGUGCAUCAUUGAUUAUGUGAUACACAGAUGAAUAAUGAGACGGCAGUCUUACUGAGGCACUUUCUACCAUCUGGUUUACGUGGUUUUCUAUUAUCUCCCAGCAACACAGUCAGUGUCGUUAGUGGAGAGCAAUACAGUAAGCAUGCUAGUGUAUGAAAUAUGGAUAAUGAACAAUGGUCGCGGUGCCCUUGGCCACCCUGCUUUAGAAAUACUUAUGCUGGCUAUAUGGAUGUAGAGUAUGCGCAUUAUCAGCGUAGAAAAACAUUGAAAGCUGCGCUGCAAAGGCUAAUAAUUCUCUUCAAAGAAGGACGAAUUGACUACAUACAGAAUGUGCCAGCAGUGGAAUACAAUACGAUUAUACACUACGGUACGGUAGGCUGUACCACCUCACCCUGGGAUCGUCCAGUGGUCUGUGCGCGCUCCACAACACGAUUGCCCGCGCCGGCAGUCUACCACAAUGCGAAUCCACUGUCAAGCCCCGGCGUGAUCAUAUUGGAGCCUUAUCCGGUUCAAGUGGGCUAGGAUACACGCACACGUACACACAAAGUCCAUUUGCGCCGUAAUAUCUGAGUUAAAUUGUCCAUUUUCUCAUCCACAACAUUCCGUACGACCCGCCCCCGGCAUCUCUGAUUGGUUCGCUGCGCUUUGAGGUGCCUCCGUAGAUGAUAGAGCUGUAUUUAAAGUAAACAUGCACAUCUGGACAGAGGUGCUGAACGACCACCGGGGCUUCUGGGCCACUGAAUUACACGUAUGGCAGCUCAGACUUUGCAGUGAACCAAAACGUAGCACCGGCACCAGGUCUU